rnacentral:rRNA from 1 species
UACGUAGGUGGCAAGCGUUGUCCGGAUUUACUGGGCGUAAAGGGCCCGCAGGCGGACCUUUAAGUGGGAUGUGAAAUACCCGGGCUUAACCUGGGUGCUGCAUUCCAAACUGGGAGUCUAGAGUGCAGGAGGGGAAAGUGGAAUUCCUAGUGUAGCGGUGAAAUGCGUAGAGAUUAGGAAGAACACCAGUGGCGAAGGCGACUUUCUGGACUGUAACUGACGCUGAGGCUCGAAAGCGUGGGGAGCGAACAGG